ACGUGAACAGCAUUUGGACGUGGGUGAGUCGGUCCUAAGAGAUGGGCGAAAGCCUGGUUAGUAAGGGUGCAGAUGUGCUCUCCUCUCCAUGGGGGAGUGUGUCCAAUUGGUUCCUCACGGAGCCACGGUGGCACCAUUUCUCGAAAGGGCAUCGGGUUAAUAUUCCCGAACCAGACACUUGGAUGCUGCGUGUUUCCGCCUUCACGGGUGGUUCACGUGGAGCACGGUAACGUAUAUAUAUAGCAACACUCGGUGACGCUUGCGAUAGCCCUGGGAAGAGUUCUCUUUUCUUCUUAACCGUACCAACCGUGUGCACAGCCCUGGAAGCAGUUUACCUUGAGAGAGGGCUGGAGGUCGGGUAAAGCGCUGCACUUAUUGCAGCGUCCAGUGCGCUGUCGAAAGCCCUUGAAAAGCUGAGUUAGGACUGGACCAUGUUAGUCUCGUGUCUGGCCGUACCCAUCACCGCAUCAGGUCUCC
rnacentral:rRNA from 1 species